rnacentral:rRNA from 1 species
UGAGUAACACGUAUCCAACCUGCCGUCUACUCUUGGACAGCCUUCUGAAAGGAAGAUUAAUACAAGAUGGCAUCAUGAGUCCGCAUGUUCACAUGAUUAAAGGUAUUCCGGUAGACGAUGGGGAUGCGUUCCAUUAGAUAGUAGGCGGGGUAACGGCCCACCUAGUCUUCGAUGGAUAGGGGUUCUGAGAGGAAGGUCCCCCACAUUGGAACUGAGCACGGUCCAA